GCUGGGUGCUGAGUUGGGACUCUCUUCUGGGGUUUAAUGAGGCUUCACAGAGCCUGGGCCGGAGCUGACUCUCCAGGCACCUGGGCACUCUCUAUCACACUCCGUUUUGGGACAAGAGAAAGAGACUCUUUGGGGCCAUUUCACAUCUCCCUCCCCACCUUUCCCAGGUAGGACUGGGAAAAAGCCCUGUUUCCAGCCGGCAGAGAGGAUGCCUGGCCCUCCUCUGUCCAUGAACCAGCUGAAGAAGCCUUUUGCCCUCUGUGCCUGGGGAAUGCAGCCCUUUCCUGAGAGCACGGUGGGGUGUUGAUGCUGGAAGAGCCAAGCGGCCGCCACAUUUUGCUUGCAGACUCAGCCCUAAGCUCAAGGCACUGUGAACAUCCCCACUCCAGUCUGUUCUCUAAAGUUUCUGGUCUUCCUGAAGUGUCCGAACCAAGGAGGCUGAGCUCCGGCUUUUAUCCACAUCCACCCUGAUCCUGGGUUUGUUCGGACCAAUGUAAGUGUUGCCCAAUAAAACCUUCUAUGACGCUCCCCCCUGCCAUACACAUACCCAGUGUGCCCUUUCCCUCCUGCCUUUUUAGUAGCUCCGGGUAAAUAUUGAUUUGCCCCCAGUUUACCUUCUCCCUGACUUGGCCAUUUGCAGCCUAAAGAACCAGCCCCUGUAGGGACUUGAUUUUUGUGUUACUUUCCGGGCCGUUCACCCCCCUUCCUUCCUCCAAGUGGCAUUGUAAAACUCUUGAUGACAAAGAGACAGGGUAGGGUUUGAGGCCCCAGUUCCCAAGGACUUGAGGGCUGUUUUACAUACAGGUCAGACACGGCUGGAGGCCAAGGUCAAGUUGAAAGUUGCAGUCUAGCCAUGGUGAGAACUGCCCUGCAAGCCUGGAGACUCCGGCAGCUUCUAAAGGAAUACCGCCCACCUCCCCUCACUCCUGAUUCCUUUUUCCUUUAGAAUUCCUCCUGUUUCUGGUUCCGUUUAGUUACCCAGGUUUUGUUUUGUUUUGUUUUGUUUUUUAAACUGCCUUCUCGGAGUUUUGGGGGCAGUGUUUACAGACUCUUCUUCUCUGCCUCCGCCCUGCUCCUGGCCGGAGCUUCGUGCCUCUUCUGUCUUCUAGCCAGACCCGGAAAAACGAAAACACUGCUCUGAGAGCCCCCACCAGCCGUCGCCUGUGCCAGCUCACCUCUGGCCAUGGCAUGGCGCAGCUGCCUGCCGGUGCACACCGCAGCCAAGGCCAGCUCCACAUUCUUCCCUCACUCUCCCCAAUUCGCCGGAGACCAAGCUCUGAAUGCAGAGGAAAGGUCCCAGCUCCACAGACUGCCAAAGCCAACUGGGUCCCUCCUCACCAAAAAUGCCUCCUCAGAAGAGCCCACAGAAACACGGGAAGGCCCAAGGGGAAUCUCUUGCUGCUGGAAAUGACACUGCAUGGGACUCAGAAUCCAGAGAUGGUGCUGGAUUCUUGUCUAAGAAACAUCACAGACCCAUG
ensembl:lncRNA